AGGACUACCUCUACAAGGCCCUGUGUUUGUUCCCUGGCCAGUCCUGUGAGUGGCCAUCCCAGAGGGGCAGUGAGAAAAGAGGGCCUGUGCCUGGAGAUCUGAAGGUGGAACAGGAAAGACCUCGUGCCUUAACAUUUGUUCUACCCCCAAAUCAUUCUUUCCUUUGUAUUGUAGGAUUUUUUUUCUAUUGUUAGGAGUUCCCUCUUAAAAUGUAGCUCCCCACUCCAGUAAACUACAAGUACUAUAUAGCCCUGAGAUAAAAUUGCACAUGUUUUACUCAUUAGAAUAGAAUGGAAUCAAGUUUCUGUUCUGUUAGAAAUAGAAUAGAAUUCUGUGAAGGGGUACAAAUAUAAUGAUGGGCAUGUAGAAGUAUACUUAAUAAUAAAUAUUCAAAAAAAAGUAUGAAGUCCCUACUACUUAAAAGAAUCGUAGGAUGAGGUAACCCUAGCUACUUUGUCCUCUGAUUAAUGUUUUUAUAUGCUUAUGACAUGAACAUUUAUCUGUCGCAGUGGCACGGUAAGAGAGUUUUCUAAGUAGGAGAGUCACACCCCAGCUUUGUGGUUCAUUGACAGCGAGGGAUAAAGGACAGCACCCCUACCUUGAGCCUGAAACAAAGUCAUCAGCUCACACUUGCAGGAGAUGAUGAGUAGCCAGCAAGCGAGGGCCCAAGGGCUUGUUCGAAACAGGACACCCUACGGGGGGUGCAGUGCAGUGGACAGCGAGAGACAGGGAGCGGUUGCCUGGGAGAGUUUCGCAGGCCUGAGUGUCCCGUAGGCUGUCACUUCCUGCGGCCACCUCUGCCCGUGCUCACUUCCGUCUGUGCUCAUCUAGAAGGAGCCUCUUGUGCGCAGUCGCCGUGGACUAAGGGACAAGGGUGCGAGGAGCCUGCGGAGCCCCGUGUGUCAAAACCCCUGUGGGACUUGGCUGCUUCACACCUGGCACGUGGCAUGCCGUUGGAUGAAGACACUGAGGAACAUAGGACGAGUGACUCGCUCGGCUCUCAGGGAAGGAGGGUGACGGCUGUGUUGUGACCCAGCCCAUUUCAGCCACACCAGGGCUCCCACCCACCAUACUCUUUGCCGUUACUCCUCAUUUCACUCUGUCAAGCCUCAGUUUCCCCCAAAAUAAAACCAAGGUGUUAUGGUCUAUGGGUGUAUUUCAGUUCUGCAGUGCAGUGUCUCUGUGAGUAUUGCCAUUCGGCCAUUCAUUCAUUCAUGUCUCCAUUUCUUCAGCAAACCUCGAUGGACUUCUUCCCAUAGGGCUUCGGAGACCAGCUGCUCCAACCGCCCAGCA
rnacentral:lncRNA from 1 species